GUGAAUCAUCAAAUUUUUGAACGCAAAUUGCACUCUCUUCGGAUAGUAUGCCUGUUUGAGGGUCAGCCUAAAAAAAAUCGACAUCGUUGCUGUUUCGGGGUUGCUUUCGUGGGAAUUAGGGUUAUCUUUAAUCUUUGGUUUAAGCGACUUAAAAUAUUCUUUACGAUUCCAUGAUCGUUUCCAAUAUUUAUUUCUUUACACGUCUAAGGUAUCGAUUAUAUUAGGCGUGGUCGUCAUAUCGUAUGAUGUCGAUAAUUUUGCUGUAA
rnacentral:misc_RNA from 1 species